GUGACGAAGCGACGCCGCGUGGGUGAGGAAGGCCUUCGGGUUGUAAAGCCCUGUCAGGAGUUAAGAAAUGUAAGUGCGCUAAUAUCGCAUUUAUUUGACGAAGGCUCCAAAGGAAGUCACGGCUAACUCUGUGCCAGCAGCCGCGGUAAUACAGAGGUGCAAGCGUUGUUCGGAAUUAUUGGGCGUAAAGAGCACGUAGGUGGGUUUGUAAGUCAGAUGUGAAAGCCUUCUGUUCAACGGAAGAAUUGCAUCUGAAACUGCGAGUCUUGAGUGUAGGAGGGGAGAAUGGAACUUCUGGUGGAGCGGUGAAAUGCGUAGAUAUCAGAAGGAACGCCGGCGGCGAAAGCGAUUCUCUGGCCUAUUACUGACACUCAGUGUGCGAAAGCUAGGGGAGCAAACGGGAUUAGAUACCCCGGUAGUCCUAGCCGUAAACGAU
rnacentral:rRNA from 1 species